UUUCUUCAUAUUUUUAUUUAUAAAAAACACUCAAGAAAACAUAAUAAUAACAUUGAGAACAAUAGCAACCAACAAUUGAACUUCAUACUAUCUGGAAUUUCACCCUAUUCAAGAAGAGCUCUUGGCUUUCCCUGUUGGUAAUCCAUAUUUCCAUUGGUAUGAACAGGCUAAGAAUGGAUACCACUCACUGUUUUUAUUUAUGGUCCAUUCUACAGCUUUGAAAUUAAGUUGACAUUGGGUGUUAGCAGAUAUUCAUUACCUUUCUAAAAUGCCACUUAAAACACUGAUUGCUUGGGGAGUGGGUGGCAAAGGAGAAAUCUCAUACUCAGAUGGUUGAUCCCAUUCAUAAAAGGCUACAUUUAGAAAUUCUCCUGUAUUUACGGUGUACACUGUUACUUCUGCUAGUGGGCCAGGCUGACUCUCCUGGGCUUCUUUGCAUCUUUUCUGUUUUAAAAUAAUCUUUGUCUUGUUUCUGGAGUAAAGCUUUUGUGUUCUGUAAAAUAUUAUGCAUGUUGACAACAAGACACAAAUAAUGAACCAUCUAAAGCAACAUUCCAGCUAGCUAACAAAAUUUGAGAGGCUGAUUUAUACUAGAAUUUUCAAAAAAAGCACAACAAAUGAAAAGGAGGGAAGAAACAACCCACUAGAAAUGAAAAAAAUAAGAUAUAAACAAAUCUUUCUUCACAAAGAACAUCCCACGUAUGGAUGCCUGUGAGACUCAGAAAUUACUCAGUCCUAGAAGUUGUGAGCCAAGUCUUCUCUGAGGUGCUUUUCUUUCCCCCCAAAGAAGUCAUACCAGGUAUAUAUAGAGAGAUCUAUAAUGCCCUUCUGUUGGGGGAAUGAAAGCACUUUCAAAACAAUCUCAUAACAUUGUGAUGGAGGAAAUGAUGGCAGGUUUUAUAUUACCCCAUCAUACAGGUGAUGGAGGCCCUGAUAAAUGGAGUCAGUGGCAAAGUCACAAAUAGCAGCCAGGCCUUCUGAUGUACAGCUAAGACUUCAGCAGUUAAAUGAAAAAUAUGUUCCUGGUUUGCUCAGCCCUUUGUCAUCUUUCAGACAGAACCUUUCUCAUUGGUUUUAACCUUUGUUCAUUCCGGCACAGACAUGCAUUCCCCCCACUUCCAAGAGACAGGGCUCUUGACUCUAAUUUUAAAUUUGAAUCUUAUAUUACAAAAUUAUAUCACAAAUAAUAAAUGCUAAGAUCAAACAUCAAAAAUAUAGUUGGAGAGUCAAACUCAUAAAAGCAGAAAGUAAAAUGUUGGUUGCCUGGGGCUAAGGGGAGGGGAGAUGGGAAGUUGCUGUUCAAUGUGUAUUGUUUCAGUUAUAUGAAAGAGUUCUAGAUAUCUGCUGUAAAACAUUGUGCCUGUAGUUAAUGAUAAUGUUCUGUAAACAAAAAUUUGUUAAGAGGCUGAUUUCAUGUCAUGUGAGUUUUUUAACCCCAAUUAAAAAAAUAUAAUUGGAAUAUACCCCUGCCCCAACAAUAAUAGCUUUAUGACCAUAUGACCAUAAACUGACCUACUACAACUUUGGGGAGUGCAGUGAUACUUUACCAUUUGGGGAGUUAUACACCCCUUUUGAAUCUGAUAAAAGCUGUGCAUGAUCUCCCCAGAAAGAUACACAUCCACAAUUACACAGGCUCCUGAAGCCACUUCCAUGGUUCCAUGAAAAUCUUGGUUAAGAACCCAAUAUAGAAGGGAGAGCAUGGACUUGAGAGAGACCUUGGAUUAAAUCUUUGCCCCAUCUUACUGUGUGACUUUGAGAAAAACUAUUUAAUUUCUCAGCACUCAUUUUUCUACUUGUAAAAUGGGAAUUGAGCCCUUGAAGUGGGGUUAUUGAGGAGAUUAAAUACAUAAUGCACAUAAAGCAUUUAGUACAGUGUCUAGCAUAUAGAAUGUGUUUAGUACGUGAUAAUUCUUUUCCCUGAUGAGAUAUUUAGUGGAGAAAUGACUCUAAUGUUUGGAGCAGGCAUGCUGAAGCUGAUGCUCAGGCCCACAUCUACCUGAUGGCUGAAAACAUUAUGCUAGGGGCAGAUUGGUACAAUUAAUCAAGGGUUGGAGCCUUUUAAAGUCAAAUCAUUUUGGUUUACCCUGUUAGCCAAAUCUUUUAAUACUCCUUCUACAUUAUGAUGGUUCCCCGUGGUGUGAAUCCCAUCUUCCCAAGAUAGCAUGCAAAGCUCCCACAUUUCUCAGUUUCUUUGCCGCCAGGGUGCAGUCAUGUGACUUGGGUUCUGCUAAUCAGAUGCACAUACAGAGAUGCAGAUACAGAAGUGAUGCAUAUGAGGAAGCAGGUGGGGUGCAGGACAUCAAUUCUGCAGGCACAGAUGGUGGGAAAACCAACAUGGUUUUGGAAUCGUGAGGAACAGCCAUUUCCUUCCCUGCCAGUUCUGCAUUGAGGUUCUGCGGACUGUGGAAGCUCACUCCAGAGCCUGUUUCUUCACUUUUUCCAAAGACUCAGUGAGCGUUCUAAUGUCUUCUAAUAAUCCACUUCCUAUUUAAACCAAAU
rnacentral:lncRNA from 1 species